UACGUAGGGACCAAGCGUUGUUCGGAUUUACUGGGCGUAAAGGGCGCGUAGGCGGCGUGGUAAGUCACUUGUGAAAUCUCUGAGCUUAACUCAGAACGGCCAAGUGAUACUGCUGUGCUAGAGUGCAGAAGGGGCAAUCGGAAUUCUCGGUGUAGCGGUGAAAUGCGUAGAUAUCGAGAGGAACACCAGAGGUGAAGACGGGUUGCUGGGCUGACACUGACGCUGAGGCGCGAAAGCCAGGGGAGCAAACGGG
rnacentral:rRNA from 1 species